rnacentral:lncRNA from 1 species
AAAUCAUACGAUUGCGCCAAUUAGAAGAAAAAUGACUUCCCUCCUCCUUUAUUCGGACUUGGAAACGGCAGUUUACACGGCAAAUGUUUCCUUUUCUGAAACAUACUUUCUUCUUACUGCUGCUGCAUGGGUACUUCCUAAUUUAAUGUAUGUAGUAGCUUGUAACUUCACUUUAUUGUCCAAAAAGACAAACAUUGAAGGAUGAAAUACAUAAAACAGUUCAUAAUAAUUCCCGUGGAAUGCUUCUGCUCCAUUACUAGUACGUCUUGUGGUAGAUAGAGUUUCCG